UACAGAGGGGGCAAGCGUUGUUCGGAAUUACUGGGCGUAAAGGGCGCGUAGGCGGCCUGCUAAGUCGAACGUGAAAUCCCUGGGCUCAACCCAGGAACUGCGUCCGAUACUGGUUGGCUUGAAUCCGGGAGAGGGACGUGGAAUUCCAGGUGUAGCGGUGAAAUGCGUAGAUAUCAGGAGGAACACCGGUGGCGAAGGCGGAUCUCUGGGCCAUUACUGACGCUGAGGAGCGAAAGCGUGGGGAGCGAACAGG
rnacentral:rRNA from 1 species